rnacentral:snoRNA from 2 species
AUCCUUUUCUGGUUCAUAAGUGUGAUGAUUGGGUUCUCACGCGCUUGCGUGACAUGUGCCUCCCUCUAAACCUUGUUACGACGUGGGCACAUUACCCUUCUGACG